rnacentral:lncRNA from 10 species
GGCUGUUUUUCUGUGACCUGGAUUUUAAUGGCUUGGUCAACAGGUGGAAAAGUAUCCACCUUUCCUUAUCAGUCUGGAGGCUGGUUGGUUUUUUCUGCGUCGCCUGCGUCACCACUUCCUGAUGUCAGCGCACGGGGCUCUGCGCCCCCCCAGGACUGGAGGCUCCGUGUAGAUGGAGACUUUUGUUUUUGUCCCAUCCUCCUGGCAUGUAGAAGGCCCUCAAAUACUUGUUGAAGAAUAAAUGGACGGGCUUUGGUAUUUUAUAACCUAGCAAUGCACCUUUUGGUUGUUUCCAGGUUUACUAUUAAAACCAACGUCUUGAUGCCCCUCUUUCUGGAUGCUUUUGGUGAUAGAGAAGCCAAAUCACGCUGGUUUUAAGCAAAAAUCAUGUAUUUGCUCCUGAAAUUUUCCUUUGAAAACUUUCUGUGUGCGGUUGUACGUCAGUAUGUGGUUUUCAGCCACACUGGGAGGCGCCUUUCUCUCUCUUUUUGUCGCUAUAGACAUUAGUGGAAAGCCACAAGUAGCGUGGGGGCUGCCUCUAGUCACGCUUCAGCUGCAAGUGCGGUGUGAGCAUCUAUUUUUACCUCACAGUCCUCGCUCUGAAAAAUUCUGACCACUUUUAUUUUUAACAUUCUGCUCUAUUAGCUGGGUGCAGGGAGGAAGGAAGCUCAAAUUAGUCAGUUUACUUUGUAUUUAUUUUUACUUGACCUUUUCACUUCCACAUUUUGAGAAGAAAAUGUGAGACUCUUUCCUCUGCAUAAUUUUCUUCCUUGAGGAGAAACCAUUUUCAGUCAUGCUUGGAAAGAGGUGGAGAUAACCUCAGGGUAGCAUGUUUAGCGUUUUCCAUUCACGAAACAAACCUUAAAAUGUUCAUCUGUUUAUUCUAUGAAAUAAUUAGUUUCUUAUUUCCCACGAAUUUGAAAACCAGUACAUUUCUGUGCCAAGUAAUGGCUGUGUUUUCUUGACCAUCCGGCAAGUCUCUACCUGGGUGUGGUGACUUGGGGACCGCGUUGUCAAAGAGCCAGUGAGGCGGGGGUGUGGAGAAUUUGUUUGCCCUUUGUUUUUCACUUACCUUUUUCUGCAGGAAUUGAACUAAACAAUUGCUACUGACAAUGAUGUAUUUUAAUUCCUAGGAGGUUAAACUCCUCACCUAGAACAGUUUGAU